GUCAAAUCAUCAUGCCCCUUAUGUCCUGGGCUACACACGUACUACAAUGGCGGCCAUACAAAGCGAAGCAAAACAGCGAUGUAGAGCAAAUCGCGAAAAGCCGCCUCAGUUCGGAUUGCAGGCUGCAACCCGCCUGCAUGAAGUCGGAAUUGCUAGUAAUCGCGGAUCAGCAUGCCGCGGUGAAUACGUUCCCGGGCCUU
rnacentral:rRNA from 1 species